rnacentral:rRNA from 1 species
GACAGAGGUCUCAAGCGUUGUUCGGAUUCAUUGGGCGUAAAGGGUGCGUAGGCGGCGCCGUAAGUCGGGUGUGAAAUUUCGGAGCUUAACUCCGAAACUGCAUUCGAUACUGCGGUGCUCGAGGACUGGAGAGGAGACUGGAAUUCAUGGUGUAGCAGUGAAAUGCGUAGAGAUCAUGAGGAAGACCAGUGGCGAAGGCGGGUCUCUGGACAGUUCCUGACACUGAGGCACGAAGGCCAGGGGAGCAAACGGG